rnacentral:rRNA from 1 species
UACAGAGGUCUCAAGCGUUGUUCGGAUUCAUUGGGCGUAAAGGGUGCGUAGGCGGCGCGGUAAGUCGGGGUGUGAAAUCUCGGAGCUUAACUCCGAAACUGCAUUCGAUACUGCCGUGCUUGAGGACUGGAGAGGAGACUGGAAUUUACGGUGUAGCGGUGAAAUGCGUAGAUAUCGUAAGGAAGACCAGUGGCGAAGGCGGGGUCUCUGGACAGUUCCUGACGCUGAGGCACGAAGGCCAGGGGAGCAAACGGGG